rnacentral:tmRNA from 1 species
GGGGGUGAACCGGAUUCGACCGGACUGAGGAAGUGCGAGUCGCGUGUCGCGGUUGGUCAGUGGGCCGCGUAAAAAGCUGACUACAAUUUUAAUUGCCAAAGAAAACUUGGUAAUGGCUGCCUAAGAAAAGGCACCCCCGGUUUUGGCCUUUAGCCGAAAAGGGACAAACACCGGCUGCAAAUUCGGAUCGUUUUUCACCAUGCCGAACACGUGAAAAACUAAAUAAAGUUUUCGACUCGUCCAAAGGAAACCUGUGCCGACCAGGGUUCCGGAGGAUUAAAACUCAAAUAGUCGGAUACACACGUAGACGCUUUCAUGGAAUCGCCACGGGACGCGGGUUCAAUUCCCGCCACCUCCAUCG